rnacentral:rRNA from 1 species
UGAGGAAUCUUGCGCAAUGGGGGAAACCCUGACGCAGCAACGCCGCGUGAGUGAAGAAGGCCUUCGGGUCGUAAAGCUCUGUCAGAUGGGAAGAAAUGGAUGGGGGCUAAUAUCGUCCAUACUUGACGGUACCAUCAGAGGAAGAACCGGCUAACUCCGUGCCAGCAGCCGCGGUAAUCGGGGGGGUGCAAGCGUUGUUCGGAAUCAUUGGGCGUAAAGCGCGCGCAGGCGGCUUGGUAAGUCAGAUGUGAAAUCCCUGGGCUUAACCCAGGAAGUGCAUUUGAUACUGGCUCGCUAG